GAAAUGAUCUUGGACGUAAUCUAG
rnacentral:miRNA from 1 species